rnacentral:rRNA from 1 species
UACAGAGGGGCAAGCGUUGUUCGGAAUUACUGGGCGUAAAGGGCUCGUAGGCGGCCAACUAAGUCAGACGUGAAAUCCCUCGGCUUAACCGGGAACUGCGUCUGAUACUGGAUGGCUUGAGAUUGGGAGAGGGAUGCGGAAUUCCAGGUGUAGCGGUGAAAUGCGUAGAUAUCAGGAGGAACACCGAUGGCGAAGGCAGGUCUCUGGGCUGACACUGACGCUCAUGCACGGAAAGCGUGGGGAGCAAACAGG